GACGAACGCUGGCGGCGUGCCUAAUACAUGCAAGUAGGACGCAGUUGCGAACGGGUGAGUAACGCGUAGGUAUCUACCUAUUAGAGGGGGAUAAAUAUUGGAAACGAUAGCUAAUACCGCAUACUAGUAGAUGGACCUGCGGUGUAUUAGCUAGUAGGUAGGGUAAUGGCCUACCCAGGCAACGAUACAUAGCCGACCUGAGAGGGGGGACGGCCACACCGGGACUGGGACACGGCCCAGACUCCUAAGGGAAGCAGCCGUAGGGAAGCUUCGGCAAUGGGGGGAACGCUGGCCGGGGAACGCCGGGUGAGUGGAGAAGGUUUUCGGGUCGUAAAGCUCUGUUGUUAAGGAAGCGGUACUUAACCAGAAAGGGACGGCUAACUACGUGCCAGCCGCCGCGGUAAUUC
rnacentral:rRNA from 1 species